UACGUAGGGGGCAAGCGUUGUCCGGAAUCAUUGGGCGUAAAGAGCGUGUAGGCGGCCCGAUAAGUCCGCCGUGAAAGUCCAGGGCUCAACCCUGGAAUGCCGGUGGAAACUGUCGGGCUGGAGUCCGGAAGAGGCGAGUGGAAUUCCUGGUGUAGCGGUGAAAUGCGCAGAUAUCAGGAGGAACACCAAUGGCGAAGGCAGCUCGCUGGGACGUUACUGACGCUGAGACGCGAAAGCGUGGGGAGCAAACAGG
rnacentral:rRNA from 1 species